GAGAGAGAGAGAGAGAGGAAUAUUCUCUGUGCAUUCACGAUUCAAAGGCUUGAAUUUUACUCUUCGUUUCUUUGCAGGGGAGAAACUUGUUGAAGAUUUGCAGUCUGGUCCAGAAAAUUUUGCUGGAGGUUCAAAUAGAAUAUUGAGCAUCAAUACUCUCGCUGGAUUUCAUUUACCCCAAAUUCUGUCAACAGAAGAUCAAUAUUGAAUGAUUACCAAAGUUCAAGGACCACGACCCAAAAUCAGGGAAUUCAAAGAAAUUCACCUUUCUCGCAUAAUGGUUACUACCCGAACCACNNNN
rnacentral:lncRNA from 1 species